rnacentral:rRNA from 1 species
GACGAACGCUGGCGGCGUGCCUAAUACAUGCAAGUAGGACGCAGUUGCGAACGGGUGAGUAACGCGUAUGUAACUGCCUAUUAGAGGGGGAUAACUAUUGGAAACGAUAGCUAAUACCGCAUACUAGUAGAUGGACCUGCGUUGUAUUCGCUAGUAGGUAGGGUAAUGGCCUACCUAGGCGACGAUACAUAGCCGACCUGAGGAGGUGAUCGGCCACACUGGGAAUGAGAGAAGGGACAGACUCCUACGGUAGGGAGCAGUAGGGAAUCUUCGGCAAAGGGGGGAACCCUGACCGGGCAACGCCGCGGGAGUGAAGAAGGUUGUCGGAUCGGAAAGCUCUGUUGGUAAGGAAGCGGUACUUAACCAGAAAGGGACGGCUAACUACGUGCGAGCAGACGCGGUAAUAG